rnacentral:rRNA from 1 species
GUUAGGAAUAUUGGACAAUGGGCGCAAGCCUGAUCCAGCCAUGCCGCGUGAACGAUGAAGGCCUUCGGGUUGUAAAGUUCUUUAGCCGAUGAUUAUAAUGACUGUAGUCGGAAAAUAAGCCCCGGCUAACUUCGUGCCAGCAGCCGCGGUAAUACGAAGGGGGCGAGCGUUAUUCGGAAUCACUGGGCGUAAAGCGUGCGUAGGCGGUCUCGUAAGUUAGGAGUGAAAGCCCAGGGCUCAACCUUGGAAUUGCUCUUAAAACUGCAAGGCUAGAAUCUCGGAGAGGAUAGCGGAAUUUCCAGUGUAGCAGUGAAAUGCGUAGAUAUUGGAAGGAACACCAGUGGCGUAAGCGGCUAUCUGGACGAGUAUUGACGCUGAGGCACGAAAGCGUGUGGAUCAAACAGGAUUAGAUACCCGGGUAGUCC